CCAGCUCCUUCCUUUGGGCAUAUUGCUGUUCAUUAUAGCAGUGGCCCUGUUGGUUUCGUGGAUGUUCCACAGGCGAGCCAAAAGAAAACUUACAGCAAUCACAGUGUCGUCUGAAACAGACGUUGUUUAUAGUAGCGUGAUGCCGGUGCAUUCCACGGCAGCACAGAAUAAACCUACUGGUGACAUGAAUCUCAAGAAAAACCCAAAGGAGGAUGAAAAUAUAACAUACAGUGUUAUUGGCCCCCAUCCAAGAAUAUAAGGUAUAAUAAAUCAUCCAUGCCAUUCAAUUGACCAUACGCUGCAUGGUGACUUCAACACUGAAGAUGACUUUCCUUCGCAUUUUGAGUAGGCUCCUAUUUAUCUUACAUGUAUACAAUAUAAAUGUGUCCUCCCUGUAAACUAUCCAGAAAAUAUCCACUAGUAAUUAUUGCCAACUGUGUCCUCCCCCCCCAAACACACACACACAGAAACAUAUACACACCCAUACGCCCCCCCCCCAAACAAACACACACACACACACACACACACACACACACACACACACACACACACACACACACACACACACACACACACACACACACACACACACACACACACACACACACACACACACACACAAAUGCAGGAGCAAGGAUGAGUUUCUUUUUUAAACCCAAAAUAAUAGUUUAUAUAUUUUUUAGCUUGGAUUGUUUCUAAAUGUAUCUGAAGACAAUAUUUGCUAUUGCAAUGGGCCUACAUCUUGCAAAAAAUCCGUACCCAAUAAGUUAUUAACUUAAGUACUCAACAACUUCACAUGCUAAGUGCUAAGAAAUGUAUGUAGGCCUAUGUAUUUAAUAUUAUUUGUUUGUAUGCUACUUGUACAUAAAUAAGCCAUGUCCUGUAUCCACGUAAUUGGGGUAAAAAUUGCAACGUGUAAACACUUUAAAAAUAAAGCCUUUCUAUUCUACUCUGCUAUAUUUUACUGAACUAUAUUCAUUAUGUAACUGCAUAUUUUUCUUAUCUUAACCUGAUUGUUAUGUAACACAUAUUACCAAUGUUCUUCACGAUGUGUCAAAUGUUACAAUGUUUGCUUCGAAGUCAACAUUCAUGUACAAGGAAACCACACAGAGGAAGGAAAUGAUAUGAGGAAAGUAAUGUCAAGCUCCGACAUGAAUCCAUUUUUUAUUGAAGUUGUUUUCCUGAUGGUUAUACAAGAUGCAAACAACAGCAGCAAAAAAUAAAUAAAGGUAAUUGACUGUUGAAAUACAA
ensembl:lncRNA